rnacentral:rRNA from 1 species
GACGAACGCUGGCGGCGUGCUUAACACAUGCAAGUCGAACGGAAAGGCCCUGCUUUUGUGGGGUGCUCGAGUGGCGAACGGGUGAGUAACACGUGAGUAACCUGCCCUUGACUUUGGGAUAACUUCAGGAAACUGGGGCUAAUACCGGCUAGGAGCUCCUGCUGCAUGGUGGGGGUUGGAAAGUUUCGGCGGCUGGGGAUGGACUCGCGGCUUAUCAGCUUGUUGGUGGGGUAGUGGCUUACCAAGGCUUUGACGGGUAGCCGGCCUGAGAGGGUGACCGGCCACAUUGGGACUGAGAUACGGCCCAGACUCCUACGGGAGGCAGCAGUGGAGAAUAUUGCACAAUGGGCGGAAGCCUGAAGCAGCAACGCCGCGUGCGGGAUGACGGCCUUCGGGUUGUAAACCGCUUUCGCCUGUGACGAAGAGUGAGUGACGGUAAUGGGUAAAGAAGCACCGGCUAACUACGUG